rnacentral:rRNA from 1 species
GAUGAACGCUAGCUACAGGCUUAACACAUGCAAGUCGAGGGGUAACAAGAGGAAAGCUUGCUUUUCUUGUUGACGACCGGCGCACGGGUGAGUAACGCGUAUCCAACCUGCCUAUAACUAGGGAAUAACCUCGCGUAAGUAAGACUAAUACCCUAUGAUUUUCUUUGAUGACAUCAGAUUAGGAAUAAAGAUUUAUCGGUUAUAGAUGGGGGUGCGUCUGAUUAGGUUGGUGGCGGGGUAACGGCCCACCAAGGCAACGAUCAGUAGGGGUUCUGAGAGGAAGGUCCCCCACAUUGGAACAGAGACACGGUCCAAACUCCUACGGGAGGCAGCAGUGAGGAAUAGUGGUCAAUGGGCGGAAGCCUGAACCAGCCAAGUAGCGUGCAGGAUGACGGCCCUAUGGGUUGUAAACUGCUUUUAUACAGGAAUAAAGUUAGCCACGUGUGGUUAUUUGUAGGUACUGUAUGAAUAAGGAUCGGCUAAUUCCGUGCCAGCCGCCGCAGUAA